rnacentral:rRNA from 1 species
UCAAUUCUGAAGACAGAUCUAUUGGCUAGCAUUGCUGGCUAUAGACUGAACAAAUACAGACAACUCUCAACAACGGAUAUCUUGGCUCCCGUAACGAUGAAGAACGCAGCGAAAUGCGAUACGUAGUGUGAAUUGCAGAAUUCCGUGAACCAUCGAAUCUUUGAACGCAAAUUGCGCUCGAGGCUUCGGCCAAGAGCAUGUCUGCCUCAGCGUCGGCUACUACCCUCAACUAAGUUUCCUAUGAAAGACUAGGGGAUGCCAGUUGGAUAUGGCCGUCCGGAUUGCCUUUCAGGCUGCCGGUCAGCUGAAAUACAUUCACGCACUGGGGGC